rnacentral:rRNA from 1 species
UACGGAGGGUGCGAGCGUUGUCCGGAAUCACUGGGCGUAAAGGGCGCGUAGGCGGCGCGGGAAGUCAUCGGUGAAAGUUCAGGGCUCAACUCUGAAUCGGCCGGUGAUACUCUCGUGCUCGAGCACUGUAGAGGCAGGUGGAAUUCCGGGUGUAGCGGUGGAAUGCGUAGAGAUCCGGAGGAACGCCAGAGACGAAGGUGGCUCGCUGGCUCUGACCUGACACUGAGGCGCGAAAGCGUGGGGAGCGAACCGG